rnacentral:rRNA from 1 species
GACGAACCACACGACCGUUAUUCGGAAUUAUUGGGCGUAAAGGGUUCGUAGGUGGCCGGCUAAGUCAGACGUGAAAUCCCUCAGCUUAACUGGGGAACUGCGUCUGAGACUGGUCGGCUUGAGUGCAGGAGAGGAACGCGGAAUUCCAGGUGUAGCGGUGAAAUGCGUAGAUAUCUGGAGGAACACCGGUGGCGAAGGCGGCGUUCUGGACUGCUACUGACACUGAGGAACGAAAGCCAGGGGAGCAAACGGG